rnacentral:rRNA from 1 species
UACGUAGGCAGCGAGCGUUGUUCGGAGUUACUGGGCGUAAAGGGUGCGUAGGCGGUUGUUUAAGUUUGGGGUGAAAUCUCCCGGCUCAACUGGGAGGGUGCGCCGAAUACUGAAUGACUAGAGUGCGGGAGAGGAGAGUGGAAUUCCUGGUGUAGCGGUGAAAUGCGUAGAUAUCAGGAGGAACACCGGUGGUGUAGACGGCUCUCUGGACCGUAACUGACGCUGAGGCACGAAAGCGUGGGUAGCAAACAGG